rnacentral:rRNA from 1 species
UGGGGAAUAUUGCACAAUGGAGGGAACUCUGAUGCAGCGACGCCGCGUGAGUGAUGAAGGAAUUCGUUUCGUAAAACUCUGUUCUAUGGGAAGAAAAGGACUGUACCAUAGGAGAAAGCUCCGGCUAAAUACGUGCCAGCAGCCGCGGUAAUACGUAUGGAGCGAGCGUUGUCCGGAAUUAUUGGGCGUAAAGGGUGCGCAGGCGGCUUUACAAGUUGGAUGUGAAAUAUUGUGGCUCAACCACAAACGUGCAUCCAAAACUGCAAAGCUUGAGUUAAGGAGAGGUAAGUGGAAUUCCUGGGGUAGCGGUGAAUGCGUAGAUAUCAGGAGGAAUACCGGUGGCGAAGGCGACUUACUGGACUUAAACUGACGCUCAGGCACGAAAGCGUGGGGAGCAAACAGG